rnacentral:rRNA from 1 species
CUGCUCAGUGUUAUAUAUAAAUUGCUGUGGUAUUUUGACUAUACGAAGGUAUUGUAAUAAGGCUUUAAAUGGGUGCUAAGAGAAUGGUGAAACAGGAAUUUUCUUUCUUUUUAUUAUAAAUUGAAGUUAAUUUUUAGAUGAAAAAGUUUAAAUUUAUUUUUGGGACAAGAAGACCCUAUGAAUUUUGAAGAGAUUUUUUGUUGUAAAAUUAUAUAUAAAAUUUUAAUAUGAUUUUUUUCUUUUGAUUGGGGUGAUUUUUAAAGAUUGAUAAUCUUUAAUUUAAUUAAAAAAUGAUCCAUUUAUAAUGAUUUUUUGAAAAAAAUACUCUAGGGAUAACAGCGUUAUAAUUUCGGAUAGUUCAUAUAGAUGAAGUUGAUUGCGACCUCGAUGUUGGAUUAGGAUUCUUGUAUAGUGAAGAAGCUAUAUUAAGGAGUUUGUUCAACUUUUAAUAUCCUUCAUGAUCUGAGUUCAGACCGG